AAACAUUCUCCAUGAGACUCUCUUAAGAAUGGUCGGUAGACAGUGAUGACUUGGCACGGACUAGCAGAGUCAGUAUGAGAAUGGGCUCAAUCUACUUUAUCAUGAGUAUUCUUGUAAAACAUUUUAUCCUAGAUUUUUGCUUGGAAUAAGCAUGAUGGGCUUAAAUUUGAACUUCAUAUCAUAGUACUUAUCACAUUGUAGAGGGAAUGCUAAUCACUUAUAUGAAAGAAAAGGAAUAUUU
rnacentral:misc_RNA from 1 species